UACGUAGGGCGCAAGCGUUAUCCGGAAUUAUUGGGCGUAAAGAGCUCGUAGGCGGCUCGUCGCGUCGACCGUGAAAACCCGCAGCUUAACUGCGGGCUUGCGGUUGAUACGGGCGGGCUAGGAGUUCGGUAGGGGAGACUUGGAAGUUCCUGGUGUAGCGGUGAAAUGCGCAGAUAUCAGGAGGAACACCGGUGGCGAAGGCGGGUCUCUGGGCCGAUACUGACGCUGAGGAGCGAAAGCGUGGGGAGCGAACAGG
rnacentral:rRNA from 1 species